GCAUGCGCAAGUCAAGACAACCAAGAUUUGUCAUAGAGAAAACACAGUUUAUGUCACUGUAGAAACAAGGUGUGAGGUAAAACCUGUAAUUGUUUGUUCUGCCCGUUUCAGUGAGUUCAUUCACCUACAUGUAUGUGUGUACUUUACCGCAGCUAAAUAUAGCACACCUACCGUACAACAUGCAACCUCUAAAUGAAAGCCUGAACUUAAAAAUAACAUAAAAAUACAUAAGACACUGAACUAACUUUUACACACUAAACAGUUUAAAGUCAAUUUUCAACAGGAUGUGUUCCCUGUGUGGCUACAUCUCUUUCCCCCAACAGCCCUCACCCUCUUUUAAGCUCAGGGAAAUCCCUUUCUUCACAGUUUCCUGGCAGUUGCGCAUAACAUAGUGCGACAUAAAGUACUACGUCUGUUAUUACGCUACAUAGCUCCAUUAGUUGGUUACGGAUAGAUGGUCAGGUUCACCCCAAACGAGCCGGUUUAUAUACAAGACACACUGUAUGAAGAUCUACAGCAGUUUUUAAGAUGUUCACCUGUUCCUGGAAGUGCUCCAUUCAUUAAAAGAUGGAUUUUGAGUCUUCAUUGAAAGAUGGAUUAGGAGGUCACCAUGCUUUUGUCACAAACAAUAUCUUGAAAGUACCCAGAAGAAUCACCUGCUGUAAAAAGCCUCUGGUGUUGAAUAAGAUCAGCUACAAUGUUCUCCACGUGGAUUCUGCAUAUGGUUGGAUUCGCUCUGCUGGUCAGGGAAAACAUCAGUGAUGAGCAGUGUCCUCAUCAUGAAGUCAAGCCUGGGAAAGAAUCUGCAGUGCUGGAUUCCUUGCAGUGCCACAAUGACUACAUGAGCUAUUCACAGUGCACUUGGGAGGUCGACCCACAAGUUCAUCCACAAAAA